UGGUAUUUAUGAGUUUAUGACAGUCCUGGAUCAGCUCUGGAGACAGACUGAGAACCGUCAGAGUCGGGAAACCUAAAGGAACGACAGAAAUACAGACUCACUGAACAUCUGAAAAUCAUGGUCUGAACUGUGGCCUGCCUGAACUAACACCAUCAUCAGAUACAAGCAGAGGUGGGAGAAAGUCACUCAUGUGGAAGUCACAGGUAAGUCCAAAAAGUCGAGUCGAGUCAUUUCUCAGGUCAACUAAGUCACAGCUAUACUAAAUUCUGAUACUCUAACACCGUCUCUACAUUCAGAUCAGUUAAGACCGUUAUAAUUCAACAACGCAGCGUCACAAAGUCAGUAGGAAAUGCGACCAUUAAAAGGGACCGUCCGGAGUUAUCUAGUACCAUCCGGCAGAGGCGGUCUGAACUGUCACCCCUAUACUCCGCGACGUUUAAGCUAGGCUAAGUUAGCGGUCCGCUAACUAUUUAAGUCUGAUACUCCUUAGUAUUAGUAAUUAUUAAUUAUUUGGUAUAUAUAUAUAUUAUAUAUAUUAUUAUUAUUAUAUUAUAUAUUAUUAUUUAUUAAUUAAGUAUUAAUAUAUAUAGUAUUCCACAGACAAAAGGGGACUCAGGUAAGACACGAAUGUUGAAGUAUCACUUUAAAGCCGAUGUUAGUUUAAAUAUGCUACGACGUUAGCAUUCAUGUUAGCACACGUUACCUUUCUGAGUAACAUUUUACAAGCUAACACGUUCGCUAAGAGCAUUUUUACCGCGCAUUUUAUUGAGAAGACAUAAACAAUAAGGAGCUUGUCUCGGUGAUAAUUCUGCUAUCAAAGAAACGGUGGCUUUCUAACAGGCGUAACAGCUAGCUCACAAAGGUUAUUCACCUAGCUUACCUUUCUUUGUGGGUGUUGUAGUGACGGAUAAAGUUCUCCUCUUCAUACUGUCAUCGACAACAAAAUCCCUAAAUCCAAACUGAAUUAUUCUCGGUCGGACUGCUGCUCCUGUGCCGACCUGCAGCGUGCUGCUGCGUGCAUCGCGCCGUGUUAUCACCCGAUCAUGUUUCAAAAUAAAACUCAGUUUCUAACGUGGUCUAACUUUGAUAGAAUAAAAUUAAAAAACGACAAAGAUACAAAUAUUAAGAUGAAAAAAGUCUUUUUGAGUCAUCCGUCUCAAGUCUAAGUCAAGUCUCGAGUCAUAAAAACCAAGUCAAAGUCCAGUCAAGUCUUUUGUCGGUGUUGGUCAAGCAAGUCUCAAGUCCUUAAAUUUGAGACUCGAGUCUGACUCGAGUCAUAUCAUGUGACUCGAGUCCCUCACCUCUAGCCUGGCUGGGCCAUCCUGUUGCGUGAAUCACUUGACGUUCCUUCCCACAACAGUCUGGACUUCGGCCCAUUGGAAGCCCUGAAAGUGGGCAGGAGUACUUUCCUUGAUAGACAGACUACUGUAACCAAUCACCGUAACCAAGCAUCUGAUGUCAUCACAGUUGCUUGGUUACGGUGAUUGGUUACAGUAGUACAUAGACCAAUCAGGGGCUGCCUUUCCCUGUUGUCCAGGUAACAGUGAAAACACGGUCUCUGAUUGGCCCGGUUAUUUUCUGAUUGGGAAUACACGCUCUCUAUGGGCCGAAGUCCAGACUGUGGUGGGAAGGAACGUCAAGUGAUUCACGCAACAGGACGGCCCAGCCAGGCUACCUUACCUCUGGAUUAAAGAAGUGGGAUUGGGGACAGAGAGCUGCAGGAUGAAGUAGAUUUUUUAAUCUGAUCCUAUAGGCUGGAAAUUUAAGACAUAAUUUUAAUGAUGUAUUUAUUUAUACAGACACUCACAUUAACGAGUGGAUCAUGUGAUGACUGACUUUGUUAUUAUGAACACAGACAGACCUGACCUCUGCUGCCCCACAGCUGAAAUACAGAAUAAUGUCGGCCUCCAAAGUUCGUGAUAAUAAUGACUCAAAGAGGGGGGGGAGGGUAUCCAGGAAUAGAAAACUGGACUCAGAGACAGAGAGGAAGUCCAGAGUCCAGAGGAGCGUUCUCCUCAUUCUUCACAUUCCUCUCAUAUCUCACACUUCCUCCCUCUCUCUCUCUCUCUCUCUCUCUCUCUGUGGAUCUUUCCAGUAAAUCGCUUCUUCUUCCAGGACACUGAGCCAACUACCUGCUUCCUUAUUUGGUCAUUGAGACGAUUAAAAGGAACUGAUGAUUAAAAAAAAAGAGAAAGUCCUGGAAAAACCCAAACAGAGAAGAAAACAUGUCCGUUUGUUUUUCCUCCAGGAUUCUGAGGAAUUUACUCCAGAGAAGGAGAAAAACAGCUGAUCGCCCUCUGACUCAUCAGCUGGUCGGUCCAAACUGAGGUUCCCUUUUUCUAAUACAGAGUCCUGCAGCUGAUAGGAAAACAAGAGUAAGUGUGUGUGCAGAGUCUCAGUUUCUCUGUAAAUAAAGUAAAACUACAAAGUAAAGGAACACAGACCAGGACCCUGUUCUGACCCGGAUCCUGGAAACUGGACCUCAGACCGUCUCAUUGUUCAGAACCCAACAGGACUCAGUGUGUGUGUGUGUGUGUGUGUGUGUUAGGUGUACACAGCAACAGCACAGAGUCGUCUCCCACGGCAACAGAGUUGUUUGGGAAUCCCUCCGUCUGCUGCUGAUGGAGGCCAGCGGAGGGGGCGGGGCAUAAGGGGGCCUUUAUUAGACGACCCAGAAUCCCGCAGGGCUUGAGGUGUGUGUGUGUGUGUGUAUGUGUGUGUGUGUGUGUGUGUGUGAGAGUGUGUGUGUGUGUGUUUGAGGACCAAACUGUAAAAAUAAACCUUUAAAAUCUUCAAA